rnacentral:rRNA from 1 species
AAAGAGAUUAAAGAUUUAUCGGUGACGGAUGGGGAUGCGUCUGAUUAGCUUGUUGGCGGGGUAACGGCCCACCAAGGCGACGAUCAGUAGGGGUUCUGAGAGGAAGGUCCCCCACAUUGGAACUGAGACACGGUCCAGACUCCUACGGGAGGCAGCAGUGAGGAAUAUUGGUCAAUGGGCGAGAGCGUGAACCAGCCAAGUAGCGUGCAGGAUGACGGCCCUAUGGGUUGUAAACUGCUUUUAUAAGGGAAUAAAGUGAGUCUCGUGAGACUUUUUGCAUGUACCUUAUGAAUAAGGACCGGCUAAUUCCGUGCCAGCAGCCGCGGUAAUACGGAAGGUCCGGGCGUUAUCCGGAUUUAUUGGGUUUAAAGGGAGCGUAGGCCGGAGAUUAAGCGUGUUGUGAAAUGUAGACGCUCAACGUCUGCACUGCAGCGCGAACUGGUUUCCUUGAGUACGCACAAAGUGGGCGGAAUUCGUGGUGUAGCGGUGAAAUGCUUAGAUAUCACGAAGAACUCCGAUUGCGAAGGCAGCUCACUGGAGCGCAACUGACGCUGAAGCUCGAAAGUGCGGGUAUCGAACAGGAUUAGAUACCCUGGUAGUCCGCACGGUAAACGAUGGA